rnacentral:lncRNA from 1 species
UGCAUCUUUGUUAGUGAACUCAAAAUCAUUUUCAAUAAAGAACAGUGCAUCAACGGCUGGACACAUAACAUCAAUACAAUCAGCAGGGGUAUGAAUAUAUCCAAUCUCAAAUGCUUCUUUAAGAACCUUAGAGUCAUUAACUAUUGCAGUGUUAUCAACAGGUUCUAAAGGAUCUAUGCACAUGCAAUCAAAUGAGCUAUACUGUAAAGGAAGCUCAGAUAAAGCAAUUGGAAUUUCAAGUUCAUAAUAGACC